GGAUCAAUGAAAGUGGGAAAUUGGUGGACGCCGGAUCCUUACCUUUCAUAUAAAUAGGAAGCAUCAGAUUUUUUAGGGUUAACGAUUAGUAUUCUAAGGCUUUUUUUGGCUGCGUGCCUUUCAUCUUCUCUAUUCUAAUCUUUUGAUUUCUUUGAAAAUAUUUAUUGUGAUUUUGGAAGAAUUGUUAGAGAAACUCUUGUGUGAGUUCUACUGUGGGAAGAUUGUGUUGUCUAUGUGAUUUGGGAACUUUGUGUUCUGUAAUUUGAUCUUUGCCUAUUUUGGCGGAUUUAGUGGAUUCGAGCUUAAUCUUUUAUGGAUGCUCAACGGGGGACUAAGCGUUAGAAGCGAUCGUUGAACCUCCGGGGCCUUUUGACCGAAAAAUCUCUCGUGUUCUUAUUUUAUGUUUUAUUUUGAGAAAAUCUAGAUUUUUGCGUUGAGUAUUUUUGGCAUAAAUUCGAUCCUGGAACUACAGUGGUAUCAGAGCUUAAAUUUUUUUUUUUUAAGAAAUUUCAGUUUUCUCACAACCUGAUUUCUGAAACUCGAAUCUCAAAGGGGGAUUCUCUCGGCCUAAAGAAAACGGGCAAUUUCAGAUUUGCCAACAUUUGAAAAAUUUUCUUGGGUGCUUCUGUCAUUAUUUUUCCUAUAUCUUCAGGGUGUUUUUUUUUUUUUUUAAUCCUGCAGUAUUUCUUGUUGGUAGUUUUCUUUUAAAAGAAAAAGGAGGUUGGUUCGACUUGAUCUACUUUGUAUUUGCCUUUGUCUAGGGUUCCUUAAGAGAACCCUAGAAUCUGAGGAAAUCCAGGGAUCUUUCAAUUCAAGAAACAAGAAUUUCCAACUUUCUAAAAUUCUCGUUAGUUUAAUACUAUGUGUAUAUUUUAUAACUUGAAUUUAUUUCUUUAUAAACUGCUGGAUGAUAUUAACGGUGUGAUUUUUUUUUUUGAGCUUCCUGUUCAAUUAGGAAAUAUCCAAUCACAUUUACUUGCUCUUGUGAAGGUAUACUUGUUGAGAACUUUCCUUUUUGAUUACUUAGUGUGACUAGGGCAAAUGAAAUAAAAGACUAAGUUAGAAUCCACAUAGAUGCAAGCACAAAAUAUAGCAAAGGUGGAGAUUGUAAGUUGUUGGGUUGCUGCACUUUGUGAUGUGAGCCCAUUUUUCUCAAGGCUAUUGAAUUGAGCCCAAAUAAAUGGCCCAAUAUCAUGACCCGUGAAGAAGAAUCUGGAAGGCUAAUCUUUUAACUCGAAACCCGUGUUUUUGAUCAUAAUGAGCGUCUUUUCUUUGGAUCAAUGACAAGUGGCAAAUUGGUGGACGUUGGAUCCUUACCUUCCAUAUAAAUAGGAAGCAUCUGAUUUUUUAGGGUUAACAAUUAGUAUUUUGAGACUUUUCUUGGCUGCGUGCCUUUCAUCUUCUCUGUUCUAAUCUUUUGAUUUCUUUGAAAAUAUUUAUUGUGAUUUUGGGAGAAUUGUUAGAGAAACUCUUGUGUGAGUUCUACUGUGGGAAGAUUGUGUUGUAUUUUUGAUUUGGGAACUUUUUGUUCUAUAAUUUGAUCUUUGCCUAUUUUGGCAUAUUUAGUGGAUUCGAGCUUAAUCCUUUAUGGAUGCUCAA